GUCUGCUCUAGUUUUUACUACAGUAAAUCCAGGGAAAAGGAGAGGAGAGCAUGAAGCCAGGAGAGAAGCCUGGUUCCUGGAAGAGUCAGAGUAGAAAAGUAACUGAACAGAACAUCAACCAUUUAAUAUUUAAAAAUUAAUCAUCAACUGGACCAAAAUGUAAAGUCAAUGUUGAAAUUUAGUAUUUUAAAGACCAGAAUGAAAAUAAUUCAAAUAAAUAUUAUAACUACAAAAUAACAAAAUCAGGUAAAAGAGAUAUUUUUCAUAAUCAGUUUCUCUCAAUAUUAAACCUAUGAAACUUUAACAAAAACUGCAGGUGUGUGUCUGGUGAAGCUCAAGUUAAAAGAAGCUUGUUCUGCAUGCAGCCAGGAUCCAGACAUUUUACUCAAAUAACAGUAGCAAUACCUCAUAAUAAAAUGACUCAGGUAAAAGUCGAAAAGUACACUGUAGUAAAAAUUCUCCUCAAAGUACUUUUUUCCC